GUGGGGAAUAUUGGACAAUGGGCGAAAGCCUGAUCCAGCCAUGCCGCGUGUGUGAAGAAGGUCUUCGGAUUGUAAAGCACUUUAAGUUGGGAGGAAGGGCAGUAAGUUAAUACCUUGCUGUUUUGACGUUACCGACAGAAUAAGCACCGGCUAACUUCGUGCCAGCAGCCGCGGUAAUACGAAGGGUGCAAGCGUUAAUCGGAAUUACUGGGCGUAAAGCGCGCGUAGGUGGUUCAGCAAGUUGGAGGUGAAAUCCCCGGGCUCAACCUGGGAAUUGCAUCCAAAACUACUGAGCUAGAGUACGGUAGAGGGUGGUGGAAUUUCCUGUGUAGCGGUGAAAUGCGUAGAUAUAGGAAGGAACACCAGUGGCGAAGGCGACCACCUGGACUGAUACUGACACUGAGGUGCGAAAGCGUGGGGAGCAAACAGGAUUAGAUACCCGUGUAGUCC
rnacentral:rRNA from 1 species